rnacentral:rRNA from 1 species
UACGGGGGGAGCAAGCGUUGUUCGGAUUUACUGGGCGUAAGGGGCGCGUAGGCGGCGUGACUAGUCACUUGUGAAAUCUCCGGGCUUAACUCGGAACGGUCAAGUGAUACUGUCGUGCUAGAGUACAGAAGGGGCAACUGGAAUUCUCGGUGUAGCGGUGAAAUGCGUAGAUAUCGAGAGGAACACCUGCGGCGAAGGCGGGUUGCUGGGCUGAUACUGACGCUGAUGCGCGAAAGCCAGGGGAGCGAACGGG